rnacentral:rRNA from 1 species
UACGUAGGGACCGAGCGUUGUCCGGAAUCAUUGGGCGUAAAGCGCGUGUAGGCUGCCUUGUAAGUCGAAUGUGAAAUCUCCGGGCUCAACCCGGAAACUGCAUUCGAUACUGCAGGGCUUGAGGUAGGUAGAGGAGAGUGGAAUUCACGGUGUAGCGGUGGAAUGCGCAGAUAUCGUGAGGAACACCAGUAGCGAAGGCGGCUCUCUGGGCCUUGACCUGACGCUGAGACGCGAAAGCAUGGGUAGCAAACAGG